GACGAACGCUGGCGGUGUGCUUAACACAUGCAAGUCGAACGGAAAGGCCCUGCUUUUGUGGGGUGCUCGAGUGGCGAACGGGUGAGUAACACGUGAGUAACCUGCCCUUGACUUUGGGAUAACUUCAGGAAACUGGGGCUAAUACCGGAUAGGAGCUCCUGCUGCAUGGUGGGGGUUGGAAAGUUUCGGCGGUUGGGGAUGGACUCGCGGCUUAUCAGCUUGUUGGUGGGGUAGUGGCUUACCAAGGCUUUGACGGGUAGCCGGCCUGAGAGGGUGACCGGCCACAUUGGGACUGAGAUACGGCCCAGACUCCUACGGGAGGCAGCAGUGGGGAAUAUUGCACAAUGGGCGGAAGCCUGAUGCAGCAACGCCGCGUGCGGGAUGACGGCCUUCGGGUUGUAAACCGCUUUCGCCUGUGACGAAGCGUGAGUGACGGUAAUGGGUAAAGAAGCACCGGCUAACUACGUGCCAGCAGCCGCGGUGAUACGUAGGGUGCGAGCGUUGUCCGGAUUUAUUGGGCGUAAAGGGCUCGUAGGUGGUUGAUCGCGUCGGAAGUGUAAUCUUGGGGCUUAACCCUGAGCGUGCUUUCGAUACGGGUUGACUUGAGGAAGGUAGGGGAGAAUGGAAUUCUUGGUGGAGCGGUGGAAUGCGCAGAUAUCAGGAGGAACACCAGUGGCGAAGGCGGUUCUCUGGGCCUUUCCUGACGCUGAGGAGCGAAAGCGUGGGGAGCGAACAGGCUUAGAUACCCUGGUAGUCCACGCUGUAAACGGUGGGUACUAGGUGUGGGGUCCAUUCCACGGGUUCCGUGCCGUAGCUAACGCUUUAAGUACCCCGCCUGGGGAGUACGGCCGCAAGGCUAAAACUCAAAGGAAUUGACGGGGCCCCGCACAAGCGGCGGAGCAUGCGGAUUAAUUCGAUGCAACGCGUAGAACCUUACCUGGGUUUGACAUGGAUCGGGAGUGCUCAGAGAUGGGUGUGCCUCUUUUGGGGUCGGUUCACAGGUGGUGCAUGGCUGUCGUCAGCUCGUGUCGUGAGAUGUUGGGUUAAGUCCCGCAACGAGCGCAACCCUUGUUCACUGUUGCCAGCACGUUAUGGUGGGGACUCAGUGGAGACCGCCGGGGUCAACUCGGAGGAAGGUGGGGAUGACGUCAAGUCAUCAUGCCCCUUAUGUCCAGGGCUUCACGCAUGCUACAAUGGCUGGUACAGAGAGUGGCGAGUCUGUGAGGGUGAGCGAAUCUCGGAAAGCCGGUCUCAGUUCGGAUUGGGGUCUGCAACUCGACCUCAUGAAGUCGGAGUCGCUAGUAAUCGCAGAUCAGCAACGCUGCGGUGAAUACGUUCCCGGGGCU
rnacentral:rRNA from 1 species